rnacentral:lncRNA from 1 species
GGGUGGUUAAUUCUAUCUUAACUCACGCACCGACUUUACAAGUACUUAACUAUGCCUAAAAACUUUUCGAUCCUGAAUUAAAAAUUUAGAUAGUCUUGCACCAAAGUAUAGUGAGUUGCUUGUAAGUCACUGUGGUGAUAUCAGGUCGAAGGGACACUUAUACCCAAAUCUCUUCGGAGUGACUUUUGACAGCAGAGUAUUCUGGAAUUGAUCACAUUUAGUG